GAGUAGGUGGCGUCUAGGUUGACCUGCAAUUGAUGUUUUGAUCAAUGUCCCAACAAUUAAGACAAUAUUAUUUCGCUAGCUUCAUUAAGUAUAGAAUGAUAAAACAAAUUGUCAAACCCAAAAAAUAGCAAAGAGCAAACAGAUGGACACAAAUAAUAGGGUCUUUAUGUGAUCCAUGGACAGGUCACAACCUAAUUGAAUUAGGAUAGGUCAUUACUGUAGUUACGGCAUCUCACCAUAAAAAGACUCAAGAUCUUAAGUGGGAUGCAAACCAUGCAAUAUUCACACAUACACAUGAAAUGAAUGUGAUUCCUAGGAAGAAAAAACACUUGACACAAGCUAAAAAAUAACUUCAUAUGAAAGUUUUUAUGAAAUUGAUUUAGCUCAAACACCUAUUAUUUCCAAAAGUACUGAGCAUGUUAUCCACCAGAUUGCAGGAGAGGCAGACAUUUAGUUGGCAUAAACUCAAUGAAUAACACCAAUGAAACAGAGCAAUAAAACAAUUAGACAUACUACAACAUGAAGCUGAAUAAAAGCAACUGCUUGAAGUCUUCAGCAGCGAUAGUAAACAAAUUGCCAGCUAUAAUUAUCUGGCAUUAUAUAGAAAAAAUAAUAAUAAUACAAAGCAACACUUGAUAACCACAAAAGAUGUGUCAGAAAUGCCAUUCAUUGCCAUGCAA
rnacentral:misc_RNA from 1 species